UCUCAGAUAGAGUCAUCUGUGCCUGGGGCAGGUCAAUGGGAAUCAACUCACUUUCCUGCAGUUGCCACUGACUGCAAUCUGAGGAAGGCGGGCAUGUGCCUGGAAUACACAGAAUUGAUGGAGGGGGUGGGGCAGGUGUAGACUCCUUGUCUCCUUAGGAAGACUGGAAGCUUUUGGAAGGCAAAGAUUCUGAACUAGAUAAUUCUGGGACUGGAAGGGACCUCAGAGGUCAUCUGGUCCAUUAAGCCCCUUUAUUGUUAUAGAUGAAAAGAAAAAACAGAGAUAUAGAGGGCAGAAGCAACUUGCCCAAGGUCACACUGUUGGUAUCACGUAAAAUGAAGAGUUCCUAGAAAGAAUGCAAGAAGUGAUUCAAAUGGGGGAAAAGGAAAACACCUAUCCUGUGUAAAAAGCUUGGAAUGAAGAGGGUAAAAAAAGAAGAAACACCACGUCUGAAGUUAUGUGUAUGAGUGUCUUCUUGUAUGUUGCCCAUCUGGCUUGAACAAGCAGCAUCCAAGAAGCAAGAUAGACAGUCAUUGCCUAAUGUAUGGCAGGUGAAGAAGCUAUAGCUGAGAGAAAUUAAAUGGCUUGUCCAGCGUCACACAUUUAAUAAGUGUCUGAAGCAGGAUUCAAAUUUGGGUCCUUCUGACUCCAGACCCAACAUUCAAUUUCUUCCUACUUCUCUUGCCUACCAUUUGCUAAGCUAUUAAAUUCUAUAAAGCUCCAUAACUAAGACUGUUCCUGAUCAAUAAUGUGUUUCUCCUCCCCCACAAGUACUGGUACUCCAACUGCCCUCACACAAAAAUAAGUGUGGUCUAGGCUAUAAUAUUGCAACCCCAAGGCUGACCAUAGAUUAAACAACUUCACUUUUUCCAAACCAAGAUGCCAUACCUUUCUUCUGAUGUUUUAAUCAAUCCAAGGCACUAAAUGAAAAACUUCAACCACCAAAUCUUUGCAGCCUGCAGGCUAAAGCCCACACUGAUAGAAGUAUCCAUCAAAAUCCUGGGCACAUUGUGGAAAGAUAAACUAUACCAGGAAUGUAAAGCCUCAUUCAGCAAUCAUGGUUUAAAAAAUAGAUGAUACUUGUUGGGUUUCAAUAUCCUUUUGAAAAUGCCAAGAAUGAAUGAAAAAAAGUUUAGUUUACUCUAUAUCUGUUCCUAAAAGCAAAAGACAGUUUAUUUGAAAAUAAUUCCUCUUUUUCAUAUGUUGAAAGUAAGGAUCCAGGCAGGCCUCAGGAGAAUUUAUUAUCCAAGAUAUAUUAGUGACUAAGAUCGAAGAUUUGUUUGGAAAUCACCAUCAGAAUUAUUGAGGAAAAGGAAUUGAGAAGUUCUUAAAUAUCAGAGAGUAGAUAAACUGUAGCAAGUGAGUUCAUGUUUAAAAAAAAAAAAACACCUACAAGAUAUUAACUGUCGAUCAUAAAUGUAGCAAUUGGCAGAUGGCAAAAUAAUAUUACAUUUAAAGUUUUGAUACAUACAAAACAUGUCACCAUCUUGAUAUACAAAGAUAGUUGGAUUCACACAUAAAUUCUGUAUCAAAAGCUGAAUUAAAGUUCAUUUUAGUUAAAAAUA